UAUAUAUAUAUUAGUAGGCACUUUUCUACCGUGUCGUCUCGAUCGAGGGGAAAAAAAGAAACGUAACGUUCGGUUUCGAAGGUGCCCGCGAGCAGAGGAGAAUGAAAACGAUCCCUCCGCCGUGAGAGUUGCGACGCGAUUUACGAGGAAAGACGCUCGCACCUGCACCUUGAAAAAAAAACACCGUUUACGAAACGGAUGCUGCCAUACUACUGGACGAAAACCGACGUACAGCGCCAUCUACGCUGGUAACUCUGGCUCGUCAAACUAGAUACAUACGACGCUCUCGUUACUAUUACAUACACCUUGAUAUAUACAAGUGUCCUGCAAAGAGUUCACGUUUCAGAGAUCAUUUUGAAAGUUUUUCUUUCAAAUGAAAAAGGCUUAAAGUAAUUUUUCAUUCAUAUCAUAUAUAUAUAUAUACAUAAGGGCAUAUUGCGUGAAAGAAUUUCGUAAAAAAAAAAAAAAAAGAAAAGAAAUCAAUGCCAUGUACUCUUCACACGUGUUUAUUUGAAGAAUGAUUAAACUGAUCUGUUUCGAAAGUUUCCAGCCAGUUUCCACUAUAAAUCUUUUAAAGCUUAAUAUGAUUCGUACGAUAUCCGUUGAAGUAUACGUCAAGAUUGUGAUAAAAUUAUCGAUAAAAGGAAUGUCGUCGUUUCGUGAAAUUCCUUCGACAUUGUCUAUCGGGGAAAAGUACAAUAAACGAUAUAAUUAAAAGAUAUCGUGAAGGAUAUGAUGUAGAAGAUCAAAAUCGCGAAGCGGAAGGCAUCGUAAGAUAAGGAAAAAAAUUUGAUAAUGUAAUAAAACAAAAGUCAAUUGUGAAUUCCAAGAAGACGGCUGUCGAUAUAGUUUAGUUGAAUUACAAGAGAAAAAUAUUAUUGAUCUUAGUUAGAUGUAUAGUAAUAAGAGGAUUACAUGAUGUAAAACUUUUUGUUAGUAAAAAAUCAUUAAUCAUUGAGAGAAAUAAGAUGUCUUGAUUAAUGUUUAUCCAAAAAAAA